UACGGGGGGGGCAAGCGUUGUUCGGAAUUACUGGGCGUAAAGGGCUCGUAGGCGGCCAACUAAGUCAGACGUGAAAUCCCAGGCUCAACCUGGGAACUGCGUCUGAUACUGGAUGGCUUGAAUUCGGGAGAGGGAUGCAGAAUUCCAGGUGUAGCGGUGAAAUGCGUAGAUAUCUGGAGGAAUACCGGUGGCGAAGGCGGCAUCCUGGACCGACAUUGACGCUGAUGAGCGAAAGCUAGGGGAGCAAACGGG
rnacentral:rRNA from 1 species